AUUUCUUAGACUUCCACUUUCUUCAUUGUUUUCAUCGUUCAUUUCCCCUUUCUUGACAAACAAAAGUUUCUUCCAUAUCUCUCAAGGCUCUCUGCCAAAAAAUAAUGGAGGCUAAAACCACAAAUUUUUCUAUCCUUUUCUUUCAAUCCUCCGCACACUUUCUUCAAUGGCAUUGUUCUGUUUUUUCAACACAUCCUUAAUGAUUGUGCUAUUUCCUUUGCUCCCGUGGCUUUGUUCUGAUACUGUUCUAAAAUUUUACUCCUUUUGUUUCCAAUUUGUCUUGGCUUCAACGAUAUUUUUAAUUUUGAUACUCUUUUUCUACUACAGCACAGGGAACACUGUAUCAAGACGAAAAUAAUAAUGAAGUGGUGAAGAACUUUAAUGUAGCCAAAUUGUUUAGACGUUAUGCCUGAAUAUCUAGGUUCCAACCCUUUAUCUGUAAACCUUGCUCUGUUUGCCUCAUAAAAGUAGAAGGAUCUAUGUCAGAUAAUUCCAAGUAUGAUAAGUAGGUAACUCCCUCAAAGAACUCUCAUUGCUAUAAAAUUGCCGACUAUGAUUUAAUCUUCGUAGAUGUCAUUCAGUUGUCUAGCAUUUUAACUUGAUUUCACUAAUAAUGUACUUCAAUUGCUAAGAUUUAUUUUAAUUGAGAUGAGUAUUUGGACAAAGUAUGUUUCCUUCCAUAUUAAUUAUGUGGAACAAAAGCAAGUCUCUUUAAACUACUAAAGAAAUCAUGCCUUAUAUUUUGGAACUACGAUUUGUCAAAUUUUAUAGAUUUCUUUCACUUUAAAUGUCAAGACCGUUACUUUAGCCUCAAUCGAAGAGGAACAGACUUAUUCUGCUAAAAGGACCUCUAUUUUCUCCUAAGUUACGAGAUUUCUUAACGUACCUUCGAACUUAGAUGCAUAUAAUUUAUAUUUUGGUCUUAGUAGAAGAGGAUAACUCAUUCUACUAGAAAGGACCUCAAAAUUUUCAUAAGUUCUUACAUAUUUCUUUUUUCUUUUAGUUUAGAAAGAAGGUUCUUACAUGUCUAAUUGCUCAAAUUGUGACUUGGCCUCAGUUGAAGAGGACAUAAUUGAAAGAGAUGGUACCUUCUUUUCGGUGCAAAAUCUGAUUCUACAUGUGUACGUCUUGAUCUAGGCCUCACUGUGGUCAUUUCUGGUAUUACUUCAGUAAUUCAGUUUAUGAGAUAGCAACAGUAUUGGGGACUGUAUAAACUCAUUAUCAGCAUGUUUUGCUAAUAGUGUUAGAUGUCUCAUAGGACAUUUAGAAGAAAAAGUAAAAAUACACUCGCUCUGUGCCAAAAAUGCUGCUGACAAAGGUUCAAAAUUAGUCAUUUUUAUCGCCAUGUCAACUCUUACUUCUCUUGCAUUAAAGUUGAUGCAUCAUGGGUUGCUACAUUAAGCUACUGUCAUUUAACGAACUGACCAAACAUCAACAACAGAUAACAAAGUAAAUAAAAUUGCUCUUCAUUUCUCAUAUUUGUUGAUUAUUGUCUAUGUUGCUGCUUUAUGUGCUACAUUUUAGGACCACAGCUAUUUAUUUUUAACAAUUACGAGUAUAGGCUGGAGUUUGAAGCUUUACUACUGCUGUAUUUAGGUAAAUCUUGUACCAUCUCGAUGUUUCAGGAAAUUUAGGCUUAAUUUGUGGAAUGAAACUUAUUUUGAUAAUUUCUUUUCUGAAAAUUAUAAAUUAUGUCAGUAUCCUACACCUUUUCAAUUUUAUUAUAGGUGUCUGAUUCAGGUUUGUAUCCCCUUGUUUGGUAACUAUAUCAAAGUGUUAUUUGUGCACCUAAUUUGGACUUUUUUGUUUUAAUUAUGGUUUUAUUUCAUUUAUUCCUAAUGUGCGGAUCAAGGUUAUGUAUUGUAGGAAGCUUAUAUGUAAAUGCUGUAAACAACAUGUUAGCAGCAGGUUUAGAUGAACCAACAAAGAGAGUAGUCCGUUUUAGAGAGGAAAUAAAAGUAGGAGAUGUGAGAAAUCAUUCUGCUGUCGUUGGCAUUUCCGAUGGAAAUAAAUGCUGACUAUUGCACUGCCGUUCGCCAUUCUGAUGGAAAUUGCAUGUCUUCUGUCUUUCCAAUGAAGCCUGUAUGUAAAUGCUGUAAACUACCUGUUAGCAGCAGGUUCAGAUGAACCAACAAAGAGAGUAGUCCGUUUUAGAGAGGAAAUCAAAGUGGGAGAUGUGAGAAAUCAUUCUGCUGCUGUUGGCCUCUCUGAUGGAAAUAAAUGCUUAAGUGACUAUUGCACUGUUGUUCGCUAUUCUGAUGGAAAUUGCACAUCUUCUGCCUUUCUAAUGGCAGAAUUGAAUCAGAGGAGCCAAGAUAUUGUGCUUCAAGAAGGGAGCAAACAUUUUCCAAUUGUGCAAAGUCUAGGAUAUGUUUGUUCUUUAUUGGGUAAAAAACUAUGUAAUACAUAUUUCUUUGGUAGGUUGUCAUAGCUUCUUUCCAGUCAUUCUAACGGGCCCGUGCACAGCACGGGCAGCCCUCAUCUAGUAUUAAAGAAACAAAGGUCCAAAAAAAUGAUUUUAAGUGUCGUAUAACUGCUAAAGGAUAUAUGGUACCUUCUUGGAAAGUUGAGAACUACGUUUUUUUCCUUUUA